rnacentral:rRNA from 1 species
GUGCGUAGGCGGCUUUUUAAGUCUGACGUGAAAGCCCAAGGCUCAGCCUUGGAAGUGCGCCAGAAACUGGAAGGCUUGAGUGCCGGAGGGGAGAGUGGAAUUCCUGGUGUAGCGGUGAAAUGCGUAGAUAUCAGGAGGAACACCCAUGGCGAAGGCAGCAAACUGGGCAUCAUCUGACGCUGAGGCGCGAAAGCGUGGGUAGCAAACAGGAUUAGAUACCCUGGUAGUCCACGCCCUAAACGAUGGAUACUAGGCGUAAGAGGUAUCGACCCCUCUUGUGCCGCAGCUAACGCAUUAAGUAUCCCGCCUGGGGAGUACGGCCGCAAGGUUGAAACUCAAAUGAAUUGGCGGGGACCCGCACAAGCGGUGGAGCAUGUGGAUUAAUUCGAUACUAACCGAAGAACCUUACCCAGGUUUGACAUCGAUCGUAAGGUCUAGAAAUAGGCCCCUCUCUCACAAGGAGACGUGAAGACACUUGUUGCAUGGCUGUCGUCAGCUCGUGCCGUGAGGUGUACGGUUAAGUCCGCCAACGAGCGCAACCCUCGACCUGUGUU